UGGUGUCAGCCAGAUUGUCCACAUGGAAACACUUUGGCUUUCCACUCUGGAGGACCCGGGUUCAAGUCUCAGAUCCAACCUCUUGAAAAUGUUUAUCAUGGGGUCUGGGUGCAGUCUGUCGAUCCCCAUCCUCCACAAGGGUGGGAAACCUAUGGAAGGACUUGUAUUUCCUCAUCAUUUAGUAUUCUUAUAGUCAUGAAAGUAGUAUCAUCUGUUGACAAAAAAAGUAGCCUCUGAGUCCAUUGUACAUGCUGUAUUUAGAGUAAAGACACUUUUAGAGUUCAUACUGAAUGCUCUGUUUUCUUAGUGGAAGCAUUGGAUUUGCUUUUAGCAGUCCAUAUUUCUUGACCAGAUUUGUUUUUAGCAGUCAUUUUCUUGGACUACCAAAAGGUUGUCCAAGAAAAUGAUUGCUAAAAACAAAAAAAAGAAAAUGACCAGAUGAUCUGUCCCAAGUGAUAUGGACUGCUAAAGGCGAAUCUAAUGCUUCCACUAAGAAUAUAUAUGCUUCGGUUGAUGAUCUAUCAAAAUAUUGACUCAUUUUGGAAAGAGUGCUCAGGCCCAGCAUUUCUACAGAUAUCAACUAAAUGCAGAUCUGAAUUUGAAUGUUUCAUCAAUUGGCUUAUUGCAGUCGAUCCAAUUUCACUCCCAUAUUGCAGUUCUGGAGAGAGAAAUCCAAGGAUAACAAUACUUUUUACAAUCUAUAGAUACUCCUCACUUAACAGCCUACCUGUUUAAUGACUGUUUGAGCUUACGACUAUUUUUUUAAUAGAAAAUUUGGUUUUUGCCUAUAUGCAUCACUUAUGACUUCUAUUGCAUGUAAUUCC
rnacentral:lncRNA from 1 species